UUGCGUUGCUGAUGGUUGAUUUCUUUUCGAAUUUAUUGGAGGAUUAUAGCCGGGUGAGGAAGCAGAUAUUUAUAGAGUCUCAAGACCCAUAAUCGGACGGAACUUCGAUCUCCAUGAAAACGAUGACUCUUGUUGUUCACUAGAGGGGAAGUCAUACACGUGCGUAGAUUUGGAAAUAGAAGAAAAAGAUAUUUUUGGAAGCGAUGGCGAGGAAUUAGGAGUGAGAAACUGGCGUGGUCGGUUGCCAGCCGAGAAAAUUCCACCGGCUGCCCCUGUGGGCCCAUAUCACUCCCAUCAUCUUCAUUAUAUAAUAUAUGCUUUUCAAACUUCUUCUGUAGCCUCCCCCACUUUAUUUUUCAUUCACCAAUUCACAUUUCUCAUUUAUUCGCAUC